UGCUAUGACUGACAGCAAUAAAGAUGGAAAAACUUUGGGGAGGGUUGGCGGUCUUAUUUUCUACGCAGUUUGUUUUUAGUUAUAAGUUUUUAUCCUAGAAAUGGCAGAUUAAUCCAAUCACUAGACCUUGUACCCUUUACUGAAACAGCCAGCUCUUUCUCUCCCUCGAAAUGGUAUCGGUAGCCCUGGAGAACACUAAGGACUCUGUUCAGCACAGACGUGCAGAGGAAAGUCAGCAGAUCACUCACAAACCUUAGGGAAUGCCUGCUACCAGUUCUGAGUAAAGCCAAAGGGAGCAGAGAGUCAAGCUGCACUGAGUUUUCAUUCACCGUCUUCCUAAAGAGCUCAACUGCAGACAGAUCUGCGUGGGGACCGCUUGGGAAGGAUCAAGCAGGUCACCAGCGUGGAAUCCCAUCUUGAUGGCACGUGCAUGGGGAAGCAUUCGCUCGGAUGCGCUGUCAGGCUUCAAAGCAAACCAGGAUGUCUAUAAAAGAGACUGGGCAGUGUGCAUAACUAACAAGUCCUUGCAACCCAGGCUGGCUGUUUGCAAGUAAGAAUGGCUCCUUGUAGUGCAUGAGUGAGAAAUAUUGAGAGUGUGAUGGGGUUGUGGGCACAGCGGUGGAAAGAUGCAGUCAUGUUAUAGUGACAUUGCUGCAAAGUAAUUACCAUUCGACGUGCUAUUAGUGCUUCAUGCAAUGGUGUAGUAAAGCAUCCAAAUGAGAAUGUACUACUGUAAAGAACUGAUUCAGGACCGCUGAAUACCCGCUCCUCUGCACAGAUGC